rnacentral:rRNA from 1 species
CCUACGGGAGGCAGCAGUAGGGAAUUUUCGUCAAUGGGCGCAAGCCUGAACGAGCGAUGCCGCGUGAGUGAAGAAGGCCUUCGGGUCGUAAAGCUCUGUUGCGGGGGAAAAAAGGCAGCAUCAGGAAAUGGGUGCUGACUGAUGGUGCCCCGCCAGAAAGUCACGGCUAACUACGUGCCAGCAGCCGCGGUAAUACGGAGGAUCCGAGCGUUAUCCGGAUUCAUUGGGUUUAAAGGGUGCGUAGGUUGUUUUAUAAGUUAGCGGUGAAAUACCGAUGCGCAACAUCGGGGCUGCCGCUGAUACUGUAGGACUAGAGAUCGGAUGCAGCAGGCGGAAUGUGUAGUGUAGCGGUGAAAUGCAUAGAUAUUACACAGAACACCGAUUGCGAAGGCAGCUUGCUAGGCCGGAUCUGACACUGAUGCACGAAAGCGUGGGGAUCGAACAGGAUUAGAUACCCGAGUAGUC